rnacentral:rRNA from 1 species
UUGGUUAAGUUAGAAAGGGCGCACGGUGGAUGCCUUGGCACUAGGAGCCGAAGAAGGACGGGACUAACACCGAUAUGCUUUGGGGAGCUGUACGUAAGCGUUGAUCCAGAGAUUUCCGAAUGGGGGAACCCACUAUCUUUAGUCGGAUAGUAUCCUUACGUGAAUACAUAGCGUGAGGAAGGCAGACCCAGGGAACUGAAACAUCUAAGUACCUGGAGGAAGAGAAAGAAAAAUCGAUUUCCUGAGUAGCGGCGAGCGAAACGGAAAGAGCCCAAACCAAGAAGCUUGCUUCUUGGGGUUGUAGGACACUCUAUACGGAGUUACAAAAGAAAGUUAUAAAUGAAGCGGUCUGGAAAGGCCCGCCAAAGACGGUAACAGCCCGGUAGUUGAAAUGGCUUUCCCUCCAGAGUGGAUCCUGAGUACGGCGGAACACGUGAAAUUCCGUCGGAAUCCGGGAGGACCAUCUCCCAAGGCUAAAUACUCCCUAGUGACCGAUAGUGAACCAGUACCGUGAGGGAAAGGUGAAAAGCACCCCGGAAGGGGAGUGAAACAGUUCCUGAAACCGUGUGCCUACAAGUAGUUAGAGCCCGUUAAUGGGUGAUAGCGUGCCUUUUGUAGAAUGAACCGGCGAGUUACGAUUUGUUGCAAGGUUAAGCGGAAAAAGCGGAGCCGUAGCGAAAGCGAGUCUGAAUAGGGCGCAUAAGUAACAGGUCGUAGACCCGAAACCAGGUGAUCUACCCAUGUCCAGGAUGAAGGUAAGGUAAUACUUACUGGAGGUCCGAACCCACGCACGUUGAAAAGUGCGGGGAUGAGGUGUGGGUAGCGGAGAAAUUCCAAUCGAACUUGGAGAUAGCUGGUUCUCUCCGAAAUAGCUUUAGGGCUAGCCUCGAGGUAAAGAGUCAUGGAGGUAGAGCACUGUUUGGACUAGGGGCCCUUCUCGGGUUACCGAAUUCAGAUAAACUCCGAAUGCCAUGUACUUAUACUCGGGAGUCAGACUGCGAGUGAUAAGAUCCGUAGUCGAAAGGGAAACAGCCCAGACCACCAGUUAAGGUCCCCAAAUAUAUGUUAAGUGGAAAAGGAUGUGGG